rnacentral:rRNA from 1 species
UACAGAGGGGGCAAGCGUUGUUCGGAAUUACUGGGCGUAAAGGGCGCGUCGGCGGCCUGUUAAGUCGAACGUGAAAUCCCCGGGCUCAACCCGGGAACUGCGUCCGAUACUGGCAGGCUUGAAUCCGGGAGAGGGAUGCGGAAUUCCAGGUGUAGCGGUGAAAUGCGUAGAUAUCUGGAGGAACACCGGUGGCGAAGGCGGCAUCCUGGACCGGCAUUGACGCUGAGGCGCGAAAGCCAGGGGAGCAAACGGG